UGUACUAGAAUCGAUAUCGAUU
rnacentral:miRNA from 1 species